rnacentral:tRNA from 1 species
GCCCCCCUGGCGGAAUUGGCAGACGCGCUAGCUUCAGGGGUUAGUUCCCGCAAGGGAAUAGAGGUUCAAAUCCUCUGGGGGGCA